GUAAUUAUUUUAAACAAUAUUAUUUUUACAAACCCAGUCAGGUCUGGAAAGAAGCAGCUGUAGUAAAAACAAUAUGUGUUAAAAGAAUAGUUGCGUU
rnacentral:SRP_RNA from 2 species